AUCACACACAAGCACCUUCCAUCACACGCUCAUAAACAACAAGCGAACACAAAGUGAGGAAAUCUUGGUUUAUUUAGGUUUUUGAGAAGAGCUCUGAGUCCCCCCGGUUCCAUCCGGAGGGUUCCUGGACUAGAGUCCACUCUCCCAUGACAGCUACAUCAACGAGCCGCGGCCCCAAAAACAUGCUCUCUUUUGGAGCUCAUGAACAGCACCACAAAUCUGCUUAAAGAGAUGAAUCGAGAGAUUUGGAUGUGUAAAAGAGACACCAGCAUUUAAGGAAUGUAUCGACUUUGCGGAUCAUAAGAUCUGUGAGAAGAGCAAACCGCACGGGUGUAACGGAUGAUAGCUUCACCCGCACACAGUCUCCAGCGCUCACUGUACGGCUUAUCAGCCCUGCAGUCAGAUGAGCAGCUUCUGCAGGCUCCAACAGGCCUACGAGAAACACUGAGAUCAGAGACAGACACAAACACACGUACAUCACUUUGUUAAUGAACACUAAACUCGCCAUAUACGCCUACUAUGGAGCAAAACAUACAUACACGCACACACUCAGAUCACAUUGAGCAUCAAAUCACGAAACCGUACAUCAUGACAUCAUGACAAAAAUGUUUUGAUGGUUGCUUAGUAACUGUGCUAUAAUUAUGUUUUUAUGGCUUGUAGUAAAUGAUCCAAAUAUCAUGUGUUGUUAUGUUGUUUACAUGCCCCUCCAUGAAGGACUGCGUCUAACUUUCAGCCAAACAGAGCAAAGGAGACUUUCUGCUUCCCAAAUCCAAAUUGUUCAAGAACAAAUGUGAUCAAUAUAUAAUUCAUAAACACAUAAAUACAAACACACACACAUGAGACACUCACACACAUAUUCUCUGACACCACACACUUACAUUCAGAAGUACUUCUUAUCUGUACACAAGGCAUGUCAGAGGCUGCGUUUACACUUGGCA